CUUGGGAAUUCCAAUGCACCAGGCUGAGCAACUCAAGGGAAGGGAACACGAUAGGAAACGAUCUGCCUGUCCUAAAUCCCAAGCAGAUGGUGCAACUCAGCCCGUCUCCUCCAGCAAGGAUGAUCCCUGGGGCCUCCCUGCAGAGAGUGUACAUUUCAAAGGAUAAUUCCAGCAGCACUCCUUACCCUGAUCUGGAGGCUUCUGAGCAUCUAUGUACUUCAUCAUUCUUCACAUAUACCUGCCCCUGCCUCGCACCAUCUCCCACUGGGGCUUGCUUUUCUCUUCUAAAAGGCCACUAAAACUCCUACCUACCUGCCAGCAAGUGCCAAUUUUUCUUAAUGAUUUGCAGAGGGAAUCUACACCUUCAGAAGUACAAUGUAUAUGAAACCAGGACAGACUCGGAGUUUUAAGCAUCCAGCUCACUAAUGACUUGUUAUAAAUGUUUUCCAAACUGCUUUGUGUCUCUGGGAGGUGAGAAUUAUCACUGUAUCUCAGUAAAAAUGAAUAUAAAAUAGGAGCAGCAUGCUGCACACUUCACAUUAAAUGCUCACAAAUAAACCAUUUGCCAUUCUGAUGUCAGCAAGCGUCUCCAUCACACACAUCUUAUCAGCUGCCAGGACACGGCCGAGUUCUACAUGGAGUUUUCUUCGUCCCACUUUUCAGGGUUUUAAGAGUCAGCACAAAACCCGAUUGUAUUGUGGGUGACCAAAGUACCGAGCAGGCAGUAAAGGAGAGGGUGAAGAAUAAAAUAUUUUACUCGGGACAGAAGCAGACUGACCCCCGUGCUCUGCGAGUGCCCCGAGCAGAGCAGGGCGAGUGGCAGCAGAGCCUGGGAGGCAGCAGGCAGAGGGAAAGGGAAGGGAACCACGCAGCCCCGCAUUCCAGCAGCCUGUGCCCCAGGACAGGGGCCCUGCAGCACAUUUUGCCAGGGGCAACCCACGCACAUGCACCCAGAGCGCCCGUGCAUGAGCAGGUGAGACGUGCCAUACGCCGGGCUGCGGCAUCAAGGUGCCCGUGUGGGCUGUGAGUGAGCUGCGCACUGAGGAAGCAGCUGGGGCUGGUGAGCAGAUCAAAACCAAGGGGCUCCCUGCUCGUGGGAGACGUUACAGAACACUUUUGCCUCCUGGAUGAAAAGAAAACAAACUUGUUUUUAAAUUGGAAAUGAAGACGAUUGGCCUAGGAAUUUGUCUUAGAAAAAAUCAUGAAUUCAUUAAAAAAUUUUCAUUUCAAAAUUUGUUUUCAUUACUUUUACAUUAUUUUAUGACAUCAGUAGUAGCGCAUAAUGUGACCUGUCAUAUCAUGUCAAGUCAUGUCAUAAUAUGCAUAAUAGUAGUAGAAGUGCAUAAUAUUACAUGUCAUAUUGACAUAAUCAGAAUAUUCUAUUAUUAUUGACUUUGUCAAACUAAUUACAACACAGACAGGAAAUACUUUGCUAUAGAAAAUAAGAUUAAAAGGUGCAACUUUUACAAAUUAAUAGUUAAUUCCAUUUGCAAUUGUAUCAUAAUGUAUUUGUAUAAAAACAAAUACUUGACUAGUAUAUUAUGCUAUGCUAUGCACUGCUACAUAUAAUUCCAUGGAAAUAAUGCAAUAAGUAAAAUUAAAACAAUCUAAGAAAAAUUUAUCUUGAAACUACUUCAGUUGCUUUAAAUAAAUAAAAAAACUUCAAAACAAAAAAUAAGAUUUUUUUUUUCUAAACGUGGAAACUAAGAGAUCUCAGUACAAAGUAACUCAUGUUAAAAUAGCCAUAGUAGAGGGAUAAUGUAUUGGAAAUCAUCCCCCCCCUCGCUCCGAAGUACCAGUGAGGGAGGAGCAGCACUGGUGGCAUUUCCCCACGGCGUUGCACAGUGGUGUGCCAGCUGUGCGGCCGUGCACGAGCGUGCUCACACCCCUUGGACACACACCACGGACCCACUCCUCGUCAGAGGUUUCCCCCUUUCCACACCCAGGCUCACGCUGUGCCCACUGGGACUUCUAAUUGACUUGACAUGUUAUAAAUUGCCUAACUUGGCUGCGAUUGCUGUGAAGAAUGGUACUUUAAAGGACUCAAUAUCUGUAUAUCUCCCUUUGAUAAACAUUGGCUUGCUGAGCUUAGAUCUUAUUUAUUUACCCUUGGAGCAGGUUCAUUACUAUGUAUUAGGUAGAUAUGACAUAUUUAUGGAAAUAUGGGGACUCUUU